UCAUUAGCUGAGGAAAACGGAACCAACAGGGAUUGCCUCAGUAACGGCGAGUGAAGCGGCAACAGCUCAAAUUUGAAAUCUGGCCGCAAGGUCCGAGUUGUAAUUUGUAGAGGAUGCUUUUGGCAAGGUGACUUCCGAGUUCCCUGGAACGGGACGCCAUAGAGGGUGAGAGCCCCGUACGGUCGUGCCACCGAGCCUCUGUAAAGCUCCUUCGACGAGUCGAGUAGUUUGGGAAUGCUGCUCUAAAUGGGAGGUGUACGUCUUCUAAAGCUAAAUACCGGCCAGAGACCGAUAGCGCACAAGUAGAGUGAUCGAAAGAUGAAAAGCACUUUGAAAAGAGGGUUAAAAAGUACGUGAAAUUGUUGAAAGGGAAGCAUUCAUGACCAGACUUGGGCUUGGUUGAACAUCCGGCGUUCUCGCCGGUGCACUCUGCCAGCUCAGGCCAGCAUCAGUUUGCCCCGGGGGACAAAGGCGGCGGGAAUGUGGCUCUCUACGGGGAGUGUUAUAGCCCGUCGUGUAAUGCCCUGGGGUGGACUGAGGUUCGCGCUUCGGCACGGAUGCUGGCGUAAUGGUCAUCAAUGACCCGUCUUAA
rnacentral:rRNA from 1 species